GAGUUUGAUCCUGGCUCAGAUUGAACGCUGGCGGCAUGCCUUACACAUGCAAGUCGAACGGCAGCAUGAUCUAGCUUGCUAGAUUGAUGGCGAGUGGCGAACGGGUGAGUAAUACAUCGGAACGUGCCCUGUAGUGGGGGAUAACUAGUCGAAAGAUUAGCUAAUACCGCAUACGACCUGAGGGUGAAAGUGGGGGACCGCAAGGCCUCAUGCUAUAGGAGCGGCCGAUGUCUGAUUAGCUAGUUGGUGGGGUAAAGGCCCACCAAGGCGACGAUCGGUAGCUGGUCUGAGAGGACGAUCAGCCACACUGGGACUGAGACACGGCCCAGACUCCUACGGGAGGCAGCAGUGGGGAAUUUUGGACAAUGGGCGAAAGCCUGAUCCAGCAAUGCCGCGUGUGUGAAGAAGGCCUCGGUUGUAAG
rnacentral:rRNA from 1 species